rnacentral:rRNA from 1 species
GACGAACGCUGGCGGCGUGCUUAACACAUGCAAGUCGAACGGAAAGGCCCUGCUUUUGUGGGGUGCUCGAGUGGCGAACGGGUGAGUAACACGUGAGUAACCUGCCCUGGACUUUGGGAUAACUUCAGGAAACUGGGGCUAAUACCGGAUAGGAGCUCCUGCUGCAUGGUGGGGGGUGGAAAGUUUCGGCGGUUGGGGAUGGACUCGGGGCUUAUCAGCUUGUUGGUGGGGUAGUGGCUUACCAAGGCUUUGACGGGUAGCCGGCCUGAGAGGGUGACCGGCCACAUUGGGACUGAGAUACGGCCCAGACUCCUACGGGAGGCAGCAGUGGGGAAUAUUGCACAAUGGGCGGAAGCCUGAUGCAGCAACGCCGCGUGCGGGAUGACGGCCUUCGGGUUGUAAACCGCUUUCGCCUGUGACGAAGCGUGAGUGACGGUAAUGGGUAAAGAAGCACCGGCUAACUACGUG